rnacentral:rRNA from 1 species
CAGCAGCCACGGGAAUACAGAGGGUGCGCGCGUUAAUCGGAUUUACUGGGCGUAAAGCGUGCGUAGGCGGCUUCUUAAGUCGGAUGUGAAAUCCCUGAGCUUAACUUAGGAAUUGCAUUCGAUACUGGGAAGCUAGAGUAUGGGAGAGGAUGGUAGAAUUCCAGGUGUAGCGGUGAAAUGCGUAGAGAUCUGGAGGAAUACCGAUGGCGAAGGCAGCCAUCUGGCCUAAUACUGACGCUGAGGUACGAAAGCAUGGGGAGCAAACAGGAUUAGAUACCCCUGUAGUCCCUGUCUCUUAUAC